AUUGAACGCUGGCGGCAGGCCUAACACAUGCACGUCGAACGAGUGGCGGACGGGUGAGUAAUGUCUGGGAACCUGCCUGAUGGAGGGGGAUAACUACUGGAAACGGUAGCUAAUACCGCAUACCAUCGGAUGUGCCCAGGUGGGAUUAGCUAGUAGGUGGGGUAAAGGCGCACCUAGGAGACGAUCCCUAGCUGGUCUGAGCGGAUGACAAGCCACACGGGAACGGAGACACGGUCCUGACUCCUACGGUAGGCAGGAGUGGGGAAUAUUGCACAAUGGGCGCAAGCCUGAUGCAGCCAUGCCGCGUGUAUGAAGAAGGCCUUCGGGUUGUAAAGGACUUUCAGCGGGGAGGCGUUACCCGCAGAAGAAGCACCGGCUAACUCCGUGCCAGCCGCCGCGGUAAUAC
rnacentral:rRNA from 1 species